UAAGAUUUAUGUCAAGCCUGGAAGAAAUCCAUACCUGCAUGACACGUACUUUAACUCAAACCGUUUAACCAAACAGAGCGACAUUUAUAGCUUUGGAAUUGUUCUGUUGGAGUUGAUAACCAAUCAGCCUGUCAUUGACAGCAACCGUGAAAGUCCUCACAUUUCCAAGUGGGUUGAUUUAGAGGUCGAAAAAGGCAGUACUAGAGGGCGAAUAUGUUUUCAGAUUCAACUUGUUUCCUUAUUGUGACAGCUACAUGUAUAAUAUAUAUAUAUAUAUAUAUACACGUACAAAAUCUUCAAAAUGCAAAUAAGAAAAACCAUAUGCUGUUUUGGUGGCCAGACGAAACAGCACGCAGUGCAGGCUCUCAUCAUAGAAACAAGAAAGCUUGCAUCUCGGUUCACGCAUGCUUAGACUGGCUAGAUGAAAACUCCCUGAGAAGUAAUUCAACUUCUUCAA